rnacentral:lncRNA from 1 species
AAAACCAAAUCAUUGGUCUAUGGAAGACCAAAAACAAAAUCACAAGUCCAGAUAUGGAAAAUGACAUAAUGGUAAUUGGGAGUCUCAUAAUUGUGAAGGAUAUCUCAAAGCAAACUUUUGGAAAGUGGUAAAAAGAGCACGAUGAGAUAGAAUGCACCCUUAAAGUUCCAGGCCAGCUAAUAUUACUACAAGAACAUGAGAAGAGGCAGCAUGAUUGACUUGGAUAAUUGCAACCUUUGAUGUAGAUCUCUUCUCUGUUGGAGCAGACCACCAGCUGGCAUAAAUUGACUGGACUGGCCCACCUGAUGUCAAUCCACUUUAAUGCAUUAUAAUGUUCUAAUCUGUAUCCUCAUUGUAACCUGUAUCCUCAGCUGGUCAACUGGUUCACCUUGUAGCUGAGCUUUUGGAGGAGUUACUGCCUGAGAUUUUAUGAAAACCGCA